rnacentral:pre_miRNA from 14 species
UUGUAUGCACUGAAAGACCCCCGAAGGGAGCCCCCCACUCAAGUCUCGGGAAAGAUGCGCACCCAGUAGGACACAGACACCG